rnacentral:rRNA from 1 species
UAAACCUAGAUGUUUACAAUACAAAAACAUCCGCCAGAAAACUACGAGCAAAACGCUUAAAACUCCAAGGACUUGGCGGUACCUCAAACCCCCCUAGAGGAGCCUGUUCUAUAAUCGAUAAUCCACGUUAAACCUUACCAUCCUUUGCCAACCCAGCCUAUAUACCACCGUCACAGCCUACCUUAUGAAAGACAAAAAGUAAGCUCAACAACUCCAACAGCUAAAAAGUCAGGUCAAGGUGUAGCCAACUAAGAUGGAAGAAAUGGGCUACAUUUUCUACCAUAGAAAUAACCACAGAACAGAAACAUGAAACAUGAUCUGAAUAAAGAAGGAUUUAGUAGUAAAUUAAGAACAGAGAGCUUAAUUUAAAACGGACCUGAGGUGCGC